CGAACGGGAUUUAGUAAACAGAAGCCUCGGUGGAAGAUUACUAAUGAGAGUGGCGAACGGGUGAGUAACGCGUGAGCAACCUGCCUAUGACAGUGGGAUAGCCUCGGGAAACCGGGAUUAAUACCGCAUAAAAUCGUAGAAACACAUGUUUUAACGGUCAAAGAUUUAUCGGUCAUAGAUGGGCUCGCGUCUGAUUAGCUAGUUGGUGAGAUAACAGCCCACCAAGGCGACGAUCAGUAGCCGGUCUGAGAGGAUGAACGGCCACAUUGGAACUGAGACACGGUCCAAACUCCUACGGGAGGCAGCAGUGGGGAAUAUUGCACAAUGGGGGAAACCCUGAUGCAGCGACGCCGCGUGAACGAAGAAGGUAUUCGUAUCGUAAAGUUCUGUCCUAUGGGAAGAUAAUGACAGUACCAUAGAAGAAAGCUCCGGCUAAAUACGUGCCAGCAGCCGCGGUAAUACGUAUGGAGCGAGCGUUGUCCGGAAUUAUUGGGCGUAAAGGGUACGCAGGCGGUUUAAUAAGUCGAAUGUUAAAGAUCGGGGCUCAACCCCGUAAAGCAUUGGAAACUGAUAAACUUGAGUAGUGGAGAGGAAAGUGGAAUUUCUAGUGUAGUGGUGAAAUACGUAGAUAUUAGGAGGAAUACCAGUAGCGAAGGCGACU
rnacentral:rRNA from 2 species